CUUUUGAGGAUUUGAAUUUUUAAAACCUUAGGAUUAAGCGGCAAAUACUAACAAGUAAAAUGAACAAAGUAAAGUGGAGAUGGAAAGAGAGUUGGGCCCAAAUUUGGUUUUCCUGUCCGCCUGGGCCAGUAUUUGGGCCCAUUUUCAUUUUGGGUCUUUGGCCCAUUUGAGUCACCUGCACCUGUCCUAAACUAACAUAAAGAAAUAUAUUUUUAUCUUUGGGCCUUACGCCCAAUUCUUUCACCUGUCCUAAAUUCUAAACAAAAAUAAUAAUAGUAAGAUGACAAGGGCUUAGGCCCAAAAUAACAAAAUACAACUUUUUUAAAAUACAGAGUGAGCCUUUGGCCCAAUUUUGACUCUUCAAUCUGUUGCAUAUUCUUUCAGGACCUGUCCGUCGAUUUUGAUGGUUGGCUGACUCGGAUAAAAUAAAAUUGGGCCUCCAUGGCCCAAUAGAAAAAUGCAAGGAUAGAGUCCGUGAGGACUUGGAUAGAUUUCACAUGCGACAAAACAAAUAAAAUACAUAAGUAACACUCACGAUAAGUUAAUAGAAGAAACAACACAAUAUGAUAGUGGCCUAAUAUAACGAGCUACUGCUAACGUCAACUUCGUUGUCACAUAGCUCAUAUAUCCCAAAUAAUACCAAAUGAAAUAUUCCAAUUUCUCAUCAUGGAUAAGUAGUGACUGGAACAAUAUAAUAACUCCAACAAAGUAUACAAUGCCAUACCAAGGAAUAAAUGUUGCUACAGCAUGUGAAAAAGAUAGAAAAGAAAGAAAAAUAGAUAAAGUAAAUAAGUAAAUAAAUAAAUAAAAUAUAAUAAAAAUAAAAACAACUAAAAUCCUAACUAGCACGGGAAAACAAACAAACAUUAAUUGGCUAUACUUAAACAAUAGUAAAUGCACAAGGAAAAACUGUAUUCAAACUAAAUUUUUAUUUUUAGGAUAAAAAACAAAAUAAAGUAAAAAAUUGGCACAUUAGUUCAAAUUAAGCGGAUACACAUGAAAUUAAGGGACUUGACGAGGAAAAUUUUAUUUUUUUUUAUUUUUUUUUAAAAAAAGAAAACAUGUUAUGUCACAUAAACCUAUCAAGUAGGACUAGUGGUUUUACAUUUAAGGCGAAACCAUGUUAUACCAAAAUAAUCUCAAAUCGAUCAAGGGCCAAACAAAGCUAUGCUAACCAUGUUGUUCAUUAAAAUUGAAGACUUGCAUCAUCAAAUAGCACCCAAGAGCAUCAAACGGAGGUAUAAUGGCCGAGUUAGAAGUGACGUAAAGCGAUAUAUUAAGAGCACACUCGGACCAAAAUGAAAUUAUGUUUCCACGACACUAUAGUAAAUCCCAGAUUGCAGAGAUGCUUUCUAUCACAUAAUAAUUGCAACUAUGAAGGGUGACUAAGGCAAUAACUAAAAUUUCCAGAUUUUAAACCAUUUAAAUGACACUAAAGUGAGCUGAGCCAUGCCUUAGAAACAGAGAAGGAUAAACAAAUGCUCUCAGCUACAAUCUAGAACUCAAGAUAUAGAGUAACAAGUGAACAAGGGAAUGAGUAAAAGAAAUUUCUUUCAAAAGCUAGACAUGGACAGAUUUAUAAACAUGCAUUUAAAGAACAUAACUUCAACAAAAAUCAACUCAUAUUCAUAAGAAACAAAAGGUACAGCAGCCUAAAGCCUUUCGACGCUUUCUAAGCACAUAAUGAAGGCAUAAAAAAUAUCAUCCAGUGAAACAAACCGAGACUCGAGGCGAACAUAAUGAUCAUGAAUUCGAUAAAAAAUGUAAACAGAGAGACGAUUUAACAACAGGCACUAAAUCAUUUUGAAACACGGAACCUUCACUACCAUUUCAGGAAAGGCAUAACGAAUACUAACAACAACAUUUAGCUUUUCAUGCUUCGAAUAAAAAAUAAACCGGAAAAAACUUAUACAGAACACAACUCAAGUCGAAAUCUCUACCGAAACCUAAUAGUAAAAGAGUUGGGAGUCAUAUACCUGUUGAGGAGCAGCGACCGAGACAACGACGAACUAAAACGACGAUCUCCACCACAAAAAUCGAGCUCGAACGAUGAUCCAAAGAGUCUAGGCAGAAAAUUGAACCCAAAACCGAAACUAUCGUCUCUCUAUUUUCGAAGUAUAUUGUGUAUCCAAAAUGUUUCUACUCGAUCUCUCCUCUGUACUUGCUAAAAAAAAUUCUACUUUUCUCUCUGCCUUAGUUCAGAUUUUCAACUCAAAACCCCAAAAAAAAAAAUCUCCCCUGCAAAAUAAUAGAGGAGAUGAUUAUAUAGGAAAAAAGGGUAGAUUUUGGGGGGAAUUCGGGUAGAAAUUUGGGGUCAAUCUCGAAACCAAAAUUCGAAUUCUUUCACCAAUUUGGGGGAGACAUGCUUUUCUAAAAUUUUCUCCCCAUUCCAAAAGAGGAAAGGGGAGAAACGCAUGCCUGCUGUGACUGUUGCGAAGAGCUGUGCGAGUGUACUGUUGUCGAGGGAAUUGGAGAAGACGACAAGAAUCGCUACUGCCCCUCUGUUGCCGUGAAUUCCACCGUUUGGAAUUGUUUGAAUAGCCAGCGCCAUUUUCGUUGUCGUCGUUUGAAGCUGUUAACGUUGGAAUUAGAAGGGAAAAGGGUUGGGCCGGGUCGCUGUGUUGGGUCGGUUCUGGACAAGGGCUGUUGGAACAUUGUAUUGUUGUUAAUGGGUAUUUGGUAUGUUGGGCUGGGAAUUUUGAUAAGUUGGGCUACUGAACGUGAGGGAAAUGAGGGAAUAUUGAAUUGGAUUUUGGGAAUUGUAUUAAAGGGAUUGAAAUGGGCAAAAAUUUCUCUAAAAAAAAAUACAAAAACGGAUCCAAGAAGUGAUAUAAGAGAUAACUAUAUGAAUUAGGAAUUUAGCUAAAUUGGGUUAAUUAGUGAAUUCGGCUAAAGACGAAUUAGUAUAAUUAACUAAUGAGCUUCUUAAUCUUAAGAAAAAAUGAAA
rnacentral:lncRNA from 1 species